UUUCAACGCCUGUGUGGCAAUUCCAAAGCUUCCUUCUUCUGGGUUCAAACAAAUUAGUGGCUGAGAGUUGUCAGUAACAAGGCCAAUGUCAUGAUAUGACCAGAAUAUGCGUGUGAACAGGGAAACAGCACAUGUGCGAGUAUGGACACACACACACACACACACACACACACGUUUCAGGCAGGGAAUGGCAGAUUUCAUUGCACGCCUGUCUGAGUUUCUUUGCUAGCCGUUUCCCUCUGACUGAAAUAAACACCGUGGAUAAUAUAUUGUCCUAUUUGCUUCAACCCUUAAGUGCCGAGCAAAAGAGAAAUUCCAAAGAAACCCAGAUGCACUUCACAUGGGCUGGGAAGAUGCGUGAGCGCGUUCAGACUUGCAGCAGGCCACACGCUUCCUGGCUCCCUCCCCGCUGGGGUCAGAUCCUGCUCUGUCCCAGUGAGUCAGAAAGGGUCUCCCUCUGCAUGACUUCUAUCCAGCGCCCACGGGGCUCGGGGGAGGGUGGGGAUGGAACUCCCAACCAAUUCAGCAAGUCCCAAAGAGAAGGGGAGGGUGUGGCUCCAUGAUGCCAGAAGGAGCUCCUAAGCUUCCCCUCUAAGUUCUGAUUUCUGGAUUCUUCCUCCUCAGCAGCAGCCCCCAUCCGGGAUAGGGGUGGAAAAGACCCAGACCUACAGAGAAAGCUACAGAGAAAGAUGCAGACGGACAACCCUGGAUGAAGAGACCACAACAGCACCAGGGCAGCGCCCCCUGACCAUCCUAGCUUGUAACCCCCGCGUUGCCACCGCCACCACAGCUUCAUCCUCCAUCACAACACAACCCGGUUUCUUCUCGCUCAUGUGAUGGAGCCUCAUCAGACUCGUCCCAGCGACCAGAAUGACGCCUCACACACAGGAAGUGUGUGGCACCCAGCUCACAAAUGACGAAAGCCCUUCACUUUCACCUCCUUGACACUGUCCACACCUGCUCGUUAUCUCUCCAUCCUGCCGGUCUUCCGGCCGAACUUUGGUGAACCCUUUCCAAGGGACGCAGAGGGGUCAGAUCAGUUCCCGGAGGAACCCACCAUCAGCAGCCCCCUGGCCGUCACUGCCCACCCUCUGCCUGCAGACUGGCUCCAGCCACCGCUCUCUUGGGGCGCCCUGCCCGCCCACCUGAUGAGCGGAUGGCGGUCCCGGCUCCAGUCAGCCUGGGGUCUAUGGGCGCCCAGGCUGAGUACACUGCCCAGCACACGGUUGCGGCCUAUGUAAGUAACGAAGUAACUUCAAGAGCAAAUUCUUCGUGACUGACGCAGCCUUCUGGAACCACAGGAGAUUGGAGACAAAGCGGUCACUUUCAAAAGAAGGUAAACACCAUGCAGAUUGUGCAACGCUUUCCUGCCCGCACCACCUCCGGGGCUUGCAUGGCAACAGGACACAAUCAGAGCUCCUCAUCGCCGCGCGUCCCCGCUCGCCUGUUACACUGCGUCACCUCCCACGCCACUCGCCCAGCGCCCUCCACAGCAGCCACAGUCACGUCCGUGAAAGUGUGCGUUUGGUUCACCACUGUGCUCUCAACACUAACCACAGUGCCUGGCAUCUAAUAAAUAAGGCUCCCAGGGUCUCUGCUGAGAGGCUGAGGGAACGCAUAAAUGAAUAGCACCAGCAGGAAAUGGAAGAAGGAAUUAAAUUAUACACUUCUACUCUUUUAAGAAGGAAUCCCCUUCGAUGUCGAGGAGGAGGGAGAGGAAGUGGAGGGGAGAGGAGGAGGCCUCAAGAAAGAAAGGGAGGCGUCCCGGACAGGACCUGGGCGAGGGUUGUUGGGGGGGGGGGGUCCCUCCAGGGCCCAACACUGGACGAGGGGCCGCCUCCCUCCCGGGUGCACAGGUCGGGCUCCAGGAAGGAAGCCCGUCAGGAAAGCCAGCCACCAGAGAGACAAAGUGCCCCUUGGCCUCCUGGAGCCUGGCAUCCCCAGCACCUUCCGAGCUGGGGCCCCGAGCUCAGGCUGCCAGAAGGAGAAAACUCUGGCUGAGCAUGCAGUCCGGGUGCCAGGCACUAAGCUGGGUACCUCAGGGGGUCAUGGGGACAUACACAGCCUCCGCCUUUAGAGACCAGGCAGCCCGGAAUGACGGAGAAAAUAUGGAGAGAAAGAGAGACAGAAAAAGUGCCACAGGACCUCCAUGGAAAUGUAAAAUAGUCCGCUCUUCAAAAGCCAUGGUUCGCUAAUGAAAAGACAAGUCACAGACUAGGAGGGAACCUCUGUAACACUCACCUGAUAAAGGACCCAGAAUGUAUAUUAAAAAAAAAAAAAAAAAAACCUCAAGGC